CACAGCCUGAAUUAUUGUACUGGCUUGAUUAAAUGAUUUAAGUUGACUCAAAUCCAGACCCCAUUGACAAAAACACUAAGUUUUAUUCAAUUGGUCUCUUAACAACAGAGCAAAUCGCCCUUUUCUGCUACGUGGACAUUUUUACCCAGAGUUCGGCCUUUCAGGUUGCCUUUCCUGGUUUUAGAUCGACAUGAGCAACUGAAUUUAAACCUUUUGACUUAUUUUUCGACAACUAUUUGGCAUACUUCCGUUAAAACCUGAAAAUCGUUAACCUCGCUUCCUGUUUUGGAGCAAAAGAGGGGGAGGGGCGAGCGGAUUGUCACUCCGACGACCUCCGAACGGUUCCGAUGUUGGCCGAUCACCUGCAUCGUCGGUGCCGUUCUUGCUGCGUGUCCUGCCCGAGUCUGCAUCGUUCAUCUCUGACACUCUUUCCAUCAUGGUGGACAUCUUGAUGUUGAUGUUUUUCGCCAUCGUAGGCCUCGUCUUCCUUUCCUACAUCAUCUACAUGCUGUGAUGAUCCCGCUCGGCCCCGCAGGCGGCCGGUACUCAGUCGAACACGGGAUGUGUGUCUCCCCCCUCCCGUGUCCCUGGUUUCCGUCGUGGACGAUGGGAGAAGAGACGGCAGUCUGGCCCUGACGGUUUCCCAUUGGAGCUCACAUGUAGGAGGUGAAGAGCAGGCCAGCGGAGAAGAAGAACAGAUGGGAGAAGAAACUCUUCCUGUCUGCCACUUGCCUCAUCACAUCUCACCUCCACCUGUGCACAAGUCCGAUAAAUGUGUAGAUAUGGAUGCAGGAGGGUUGUAUGGCACUGUAAGUGAGUAGUUGUGUGUGUUAUUGGGAUGCACGAUACGCGAUUCGUGCUGAUAUUUUCCAGUUUACAGCAGCGAUAUGCGCAUGUUUUCCUCCGUCUUUAUGCACAGAUUUCACAUUGUUAUGGCUACCCCUGUUGUGGAGUGCAGUCUUUUCAUCACGCAAAAUAAGAAAACUACUCAGCCACCAGUUUGCAUUGUGCUUAAUUAAAGCGCCUUCUCAUGCCCCUGUGGCAUCAGCAGAGAUGUUCAUCCCGGGCUGAUGCCGCUGACAUGCUGAUUAUUACCGUGCAUCCCAGAUGUAAUGUUCUGUUUGACGUCCAUGUAACCGUGUGGCCGACCCCUCUGUACUCGUGUUUAGUUGCUGGAGAGCUUUUGAUUUCUCCUGUUGUGAGAAAUGCGUUGGUUUUAUUCACAUGUUGCCAAUAUGUUCUUCUCCUCACUACAAUCAGGAUUCCCUCUCAGGUUAAAUAACUCAGCAGUUAAUGUUUCUCUGUUUUGGUCGAUUUCUCCAGCUUCAAGUGACAUGCAUGACGAGUGUCAUUUCUGAAAUACAUCUUCUGUGUUUUACCACCAAGGCUCGUAUAAAUUUAUCUCCUAUAUAUACAUAAUGUUGGGUUUACUGAUGCACUAAUGAUUUGCUGAAGCUGGUGACAGUGUUUUCAGAUGAGAUGUCAAAUAAAGAUGAUUUCAGUUAA